GAGGGGGCGAAGCCACUCUUGGAGGUGGCCGCGGCUGCGUGUGUGUGGUGUGGGCAGUGGAGGAAGAGGCACCGCUGCCGGCGCGGAGUGAACCGCACCUUCCGCAAGAGGAGGCGAUGCGGGUGGUGUGUAGGUACCAAGCCGCCACAGUGACAGUGGCACGGGAUGUACCGUGGUGGAUGCUGAAGGCGACUUGCCGAAACUCUUUAAACUCCCUGACCUCCAAUGGCUGUCGUAGGCGACUCCUCGCGCUAAGAAACCAUGGGAGCCGCGACCGCUCGCACGACUCCGAUCCGGUGACUACCAGGUGAGGUGGCGCAAGACUGCUGGUUCGAGGCCGAGGAGGCCGUCGGGUAGCAGUACGGCAGCAUGAACUCUGGUCGGGGUCAGAGUCCAGCGACACAAUUCAAGGAGGGCGGGCCGUCCCGAGCCAAGGAGGCCCUCUGGUCGCAGUAGAAGCUGGAGGCGGAAACAAUGAGGGCCUCUGUGUCUUAGCCCCUGAUGGCCGGCGGAUGUCGCCCAUGGAGAAGAUGAUAAGGUAAAACGGCCGGAUGCAUGUGUGAACUUGGGGAAAGAGGGACCCGGACGCAAGUGAAAGACAGGGAGGACCAGGGAUUCUUCUUUGCCGGCGUUUGCAGAACUGACAGCAACGAGCAAAGAGAUAGAGACUCAUCAGAUGGAGAAGAUUACGCUGGAGAAGGUGGAGAAGGUGAGACCCACGCGGCAACUUUACACCCACAUGGCACGCUGGCUAGCUGUUUAUGUAGAAGGGAGACCCAUGUGAGGACCGUAUUUGGUCAAUAUUUUCAUGCACCGGACAGUAGCAAGGCACUUCUCAAGCUUGAAGACAGUACUGAUAAAAGACUGGGUGCAAUUUAAUCCGUGAGUAGUUUUAUCAAUAGUUAUAGUAUAUUAAGAUGUCGGUAUUAUAUGCAUUGUUUGAGUUGGCUAAACAUUUUUUUGCCCAAAAUUGCUAUGAAACUUGUAAAUGUAUUGGAUUGAAGCCUGCUAAGUAGAAUCAA